AUUGAACGCUGGCGGCAUGCUUUGCACAUGCAAGUCGAACGGCAGCGCGGGCUUCGGCCUGGCGGCGAGUGGCGAACGGGUGAGUAAUGCAUCGGAACGUGCCCAGUAGUGGGGGAUAGCCCGGCGAAAGCCGGAUUAAUACCGCAUACGACCUGAGGGUGAAAGCGGGGGACCGAAAGGCCUCGCGCUAUUGGAGCGGCCGAUGUCGGAUUAGCUAGUUGGUGGGGUAAAGGCUUACCAAGGCGACGAUCCGUAGCUGGUCUGAGAGGACGACCAGCCACACUGGGACUGAGACACGGCCCAGACUCCUACGGGAGGCAGCAGUGGGGAAUUUUGGACAAUGGGGGCAACCCUGAUCCAGCCAUGCCGCGUGCGGGAAGAAGGCCUUCGGGUUGUAAACCGCUUUUGUUCGGGAAGAAAUCCUCUGGGCUAAUACCCCGGGGGGAUGACGGUACCGGAAGAAUAAGCACCGGCUAACUACGUG
rnacentral:rRNA from 1 species